rnacentral:rRNA from 1 species
GAGAUAUAUACUGUCUCAUAUAUAUAAAAUGAAUUUAAAUUUUUAGUAAAAAUGCUUAAAUAAUUUUAUGGGACGAUAAGACCCUAUAGAAUUUUAUAUUAAAAUUUUAUUAAUUAUUUAGUUAAAAUUUUAAUAUUUAGUUGGGAGGAUUAGUAAAUAGAAUUAACUUUAUUUUAAAAAUAAACUUUGAUUUAAGAAUAAAAUUUUGAUCUUAUAUUAUAAAUUAAAAGAAUAAAUUACCUUAGGGAUAACAGCGUAAUAUCUUUUUAAAGAUCAUAUUAAUAAAGAUGUUUGCGACCUCGAUGUUGAAUUAAGAUAAAUUUUAAAUGAAGAAAUUUAAAAAUUAAGUCUGUUCGACUUUUAAAAUCUUACAUGA